CAAGGUGUUUCCUCUCUGGCGGACAAAAAAGGACUGAGGAGGAGGGUGUGGAUCACAUGACCAAGUUGCCUCAAACAAGCUAACACUAAUCACCUCAGCAGGAAAGCCAGAUAAGAUCGGCCUUCCUCGCUGGCCUAACCUACCCAGCUCACCUCACUGCUACAAGAAGCUGGGUGCAUGAAAACAGA